rnacentral:rRNA from 1 species
GCCAGUGGCGAGAGCACGUUAAAAACACCAGUUCCCUAUGGAUCACUGAUGUGAAGCAACGUUGCGCGUGGUUAGUAUCCAGAUGGGUGACCACCUGGACAAUGCGUUUUCAUCGAAU